UUUCCUACGGGUGGCAGCAGGAGGGAAUAUUGGUUAAUGUGCGAAAGCGCGAACCAGCAACGCCGCGUGUACGAAGAAGGCCUUCGGGUUGUAAAGUACUUUUCACCGGGAAGAGGAAGGACGGUACCGGUGGAAUAAGUCUCGGCUAACUACGUGCCAGCAGCCGCGGUAACACGUAGGAGACGAGCGUUAUCCGGAUUUACUGGGUGGAAAGCGCGGGCAGGCGGUUUGUUAAGUUGGAUGUGAAAGCUACCGGCUAAACUGGGAGAGGUCGGUCAAAACUAGCAGACUAGAGUGUGGUAGAGGGGAGUGGAAUUCCGAGUGUAGCGGUAAAAUGCAUAGAUAUUCGGAAGAACACCAGUGGCGAAGGCGACUUCCUGGACCACAACUGACGCUCAGACGCGAAAGCCAGGGUAGCAAACGGGAUUAGAUACCCUGGUAGUCC
rnacentral:rRNA from 1 species